UACUAAAAUACAUAAACAACAAACUGUAUUUUUCCUUCUAGGUUAUUACUGUGACCUAAGGUUGGGCCUGGUGAAUGCUUCGGUGCUUCGGCCCUGCCCUAAAGGACAUUACUGUCCCCCAGGCACCGCCUUGGCCACCCAGAACCCAUGCCCCCCAGGCUCAUUCAACCCCAGAGAGCGAAUAGACCGCUUGACAGGCUGCAUGCUCUGUCCUCCAGGACGGUUCUGUCCUGCCAUGGGACUCGCUGAACCUGCUGGUUACUGCAACGCUGGCUUCUGGUGCAGGGAGGGGGCGUUCUCUCCCAGUCCUGUGGACGGCCUCUCAGGCUUUCCGUGUCCUGCUGGACAAUACUGCCCCUCAGGUACCCCUGCCCCGGUGCCCUGUCCUUUGGGUACCUGGUCUAACAGUACUGGCCUGGCGAACCAGGAAGAGUGCCGACCCUGCCCUGGAGGACUCUACUGUGACUCUAUCAGCCUCACCACUCCUACUGGGUCUUGCACUGGAGGGUAUACACCAAACACUGUCUCACUCAUACACAGGCUGAGUUCCAACUCCCUACCCCUUUCCCCUGAAGUGGGAGUUUUCUUACUCCCCCUCGUGGAUUCAAAAGGAGAGUUCACCUAAAACAUAGUUCUACUUUAUACUAUAUAACUACACCAAGCGUUUGAUUGAUGUACGAAGGGGAGUCGUAUUUCUUAC
rnacentral:lncRNA from 1 species